AGAGUUUGAUCAUGGCUCAGGACGAACGCUGGCGGCGUGCCUAACACAUGCAAGUCGAGCGGAGUCAGUAAGAGGAAGUUUCGGAUGGAAUCUUGUGAUUAGCGGCGGACGGGUGAGUAACGCGUGAGCGACCAACCUUGCACAGGGGGAUAACGGACCGAAAGGUUCACUAAUACCGCAUGAGACCACGGUGUUGCAUGGCACAGGGGUCAAAGGAGCAAUCCGGUGCAAGACGGGCUCGCGUCCGAUUAGGUAGUUGGAGGGUAACGGCCCACCAAGCCUAUGAUCGGUAGCCGACCUGAGAGGGUGAUCGGCCACAUUGGAACUGAGAUACGGUCCAAACUCCUACGGGAGGCAGCAGUGGGGAAUAUUGGGCAAAUGGGGGAAACCCUGACCCAGCAACGCCGCGUGAAGGAAGAAGGUUUUCGGAUUGUAAACUUCUGUCCUUGGUGAAGAGAAGAAGACGGUAGCCAAGGAGGAAGCCCCGGCUAACUACGUGCCAGCCGCCGC
rnacentral:rRNA from 1 species